rnacentral:lncRNA from 1 species
CAUCCUUAAAAGUAAAGGCAUAGCCUCAAAAUGGCUCCAUAAUUCGGCUCUUUGCUCCAACAGCUCUUCGAGCGUCCAAUUUUUGAAGCGCCCCCCUGUGUGGCGUCUCAUUUGUGAGGUGUCCCGCCUAUGAGGCGCCCCGCCUGUGAGGCGUCUCGCUUAUGAGGCGUCCUUAAAUACAGCUCUUGGAGCGUUCUUAAUGGCUCUUUGAUUGUCCAAUUUAUGAAGCAUUCUCAAUUGCUCAUUGAGCGUCCAAUUCAUGAAGCAUCUUAAUACAGCUCUUAAAGCGUCAAGCUCAGCGAGCGUCCUUCAAA